AUAUCUAUUUUCAUCCUGCAGUCAGGCUUUCUUUCCCAGCGGCUCAGGGAACAGCGCGAGUCUUAUCUCAUUCAUAAAUUCCAGUGUCAGAUAAACGAAGAUCCAGGAAUCCUUUCUACUAUUCGCAACCUGCAUUCCUAAUCCAGCACAAUACAUACACUCUUUUGUCUCUUUUUCAGGCUCACGGGUAUUUCCUCAAGGUCCUGCUGCACAGACCCGGUCAUUCCCCUUUCACUUAGUCACCAACCUAUGUUAGUCAUGACAAAAGCGCAUGCGCUGCUCUCUUUCCCUUGUACAUAACCCUCUCCCAUAUAUAAAGCUUGUUCUUGUCACCAAACCCCAGUCCCGUCGAAGGCAGCGCUGACUGCCGAAACGUCGACCCCUAUCCCUAUAUGUGUUAAUAAACUCCCCUUUGUGUUUUCCUGUAAGCUCUUUGUCGUCUUCUGAUUUUUCCUGCUUAUUUCAUUCUCGUGGUCAACCGCCCUCCUAAGCUUCUAAUCUAUUUCUACGAUGACCACCGACAGAGGAGGACCGAAGAUGCCCAUCAGGAAGUACCCUUUUUAUGCUCCUGUUAUAGCUGUACUUGGUGACUCACAAACUAAAUAUCUCCGUUUCCACUUCGACCCCAGAUCCCGUACUGCCCCGACAAUGUUCGUGUCCAAGAGCGGAGGCCGAAUCGCAGACUUCAAAGAAGAGGUGGACCAGCUGCCCGCAAGUGUUCGUGUCGUGGUGUUGCACUGUGGGACGAAUGACAUGCCGGACACCGAUCCCGACAUGGCCAUCCGUCGCUAUGUGCAACUCAUCGACCACAUUCGCUCUCGGGGAAACAUCGAACUUGUGGCGACGCGAAUUCCAGUGCAAUCCCCGGGCAUUUGCGUUCAACCAACGACUGAUGACCCUGUGCCGAGGUGCCCGUGACCUGUAUUUCCUGGACCAUGGUUUCCACCGACAGCCCCCAACCAGAGUCCUUGCAGCUGACGGCCUCCACCCCAGUUUCGAAGGAGUCACCCAGAUCGCCCACCGACUGCGGUCCCUGGUACCCCGGCUGCUCCGUCGCCUACCCACACGUACAGCAAGCACUGGAACGCCGGACCCCGUAUGGCCGACACUCCAGGAGGCUGCAGCAUGGACACAAAGAACCACACGUGCCGAGAAAUCGUCACGAGCCAAGCAGCAGGAUUGACUAGCCGGCUCACGGGUAUUUCCUCAAGGUCCUGCUGCACAGACCCGGUCAUUCCCCUUUCACUUAGUCACCAACCUAUGUUAGUCAUGACAAAAGCGCAUGCGCUGCUCUCUUUCCCUUGUACAUAACCCUCUCCCAUAUAUAAAGCUUGUUCUUGUCACCAAACCCCAGUCCCGUCGAAGGCAGCGCUGACUGCCGAAACGUCGACCCCUAUCCCUAUAUGUGUUAAUAAACUCCCCUUUGUGUUUUC